CUCCCGUCUCCGAAAAGGAAAGGAAAACUCUUCGAUCCAGAGAGGAACGAAUUGGGGUUGCGGGCGCCGCCGCCGCCGCGCCGUCUUCCCAUCUUCUGAAUGGAUCCACCCAAAGCGCGGGGGAUCCUCCCCUUCCCUUUACCCCGGCGAGGCAGCCAGGGAGACGGCAAAGAUGUUGGUGAGGACGGAGAGAUCCCCUCCCCUCAUGGCGAUGGUGGGCAUGAGGCGACACCUCCACUUCCAGCAACGUUCAGACCUCUCCCUCAUCUAGGCGUGCCAUCGCGAUCUGUAGAACAAAGCCCAUCAGAACACCAGUCGUAGGAUGAAGGGAUUGUUUAGGGAAUGGAACAUGGUGCGCACUUGCACUACAGAGGGAUUGUCCAUCUUCCUGGAGGAACUUCUAUCUGGUUGGUGUUUGAGCCAGUUCGUUUAAUUUUCUUUUAUUUUCCUAAUCCAAUCUUCUUUGUGUCCUUUGUAGUAGGGAGGUCACCUUGUGCUAUUGAAGGAUACCGAGAAGAAUAUUUUUUCUUCAGAGAGAAGGAUACCGAGGAGAUAUUUGAUUCCAACUGGUCUAAUUGUUGUCGUUGUUCCCACUCAUGAUAACUCCCGCAUUCUUGAUGAAUUAAGCAUGAAAGGAUGGAAAACCAGGAUGAAGGCCAUAGUAUUGCAGAGUUCGAGUCAGAUCCUUGUUUUAUUAUUCGUCUUUUGUAGAUUGGAUUAACUACAUUGAGACAACACAUCAGUUGUGGCACAAUAACAAAUGGCACCAGAGGGUUGGCACCUUGAUGAUUUUUGUGUGUAACCAAUCUAAAUAUUUAAGUGUUGUUAUUGGCAAAAUAAAGGCAUGUCAUCCAUAGCUUUGAAUUAUUCAAUUUCUGAUAUCUUCAUGCUUCCUUGUUUCCUGUUAUUUGUAUGUAACCUUACAAAAUUAGGAUUUGGGAGAGAUAUCAUUUGCCCGUGAUGAUACUAGCUAUUUUUUCAGGUUUGAGAGGAGCCAUUUGUGUGCAACCGUUGCUAUUGAUAUUCGAAUUCGCAUAUAGAUCUGAGAGUUGUGCUAUGGUUGUCAUUUUCGGAGGGCAAGUUUGUCUAACUUGAUAUGCGUAUGGAGCCAUCCUUGGGGAGCCAGUCAACCUGGUCGAGCGCAUUGUUGGUAUUAGGCUUGGGGUUAUCUGGGGCAUGGUCGACCACCUCAAGGCCUUCAAGGGCUCCAUCGACCUCCAUUCAGGUAUGGUGCGGGGAUGGUAGCCAGCAGCGCCGUGGGAGGUCGUCAGCCAGCAGGAGCACGGCACGCUGGGGUGUCCCUUCCCGUUCAUAUACCAUAUGGUAGAUCAGCAAGCGAUCAAUGACUCGAACGAUUGCUUAUACCCACAGGAGAUUCAUGCUAAUUUUUAGAUCAUGUGGUCACAAAAGCAUUGAUCCAAAAUCAUAAUAUUUGGCUACUCAAAGCGGGGGUGUGAUCAGCUGACCAAGUCAUAUCAUGGCCAUUAAAGGAACAAUUGUGUCAUUGUUGCAGCAACUUCUGGGAAAUUUCCACAUGCCUGGAAUGCUUGGCGAACUGAAUCUCUGCAUACAAACAUAGUCUGUCAUGCUUGCUUUGGUGGUAGGAGAAAGAGAUGAAAUAUUUGUGUUAAUGCUAGCAUGUUCAGAAGUCUCUCCUUCCUCUUGUCUUUUUUACUUUGAUAAAUAUUCGAUGUUUAUUGUUCUAGAGCUUGUAAUGGUGUGGCUGGCGCACUAGCUAGCUCGGAUUGGUGCUGCCUAGGAACAUGUAAGCCUAUGUAGCUGUCAAUUUGUCUAGCUCGUCCCUUAAUGAAAAAUGUUAUAUCUCAGUAAUGUGUUGCUUAUGCAAUUAUUGGUGGUAAAUCAUGGGCUUGGGUUAUGAGAAAUCCUGGACUAUGUAACUUAGUCAAUCCACCAAGAGCUAAAGAGAAUGCCCACAACUUGUACAAUGGACUAAAUCAACUAAAAAAUUAGUAAUAUUGUAUAUACAAAUUAGUUCAUGUCAAUUUAAAAACAAACUAAAUCUCAACAUAUAUUUGUAUCAAUACUAACAUU